UAUGGGUGUUGUUUUCUUUCUCUUUGUCUUGAAGAAGAAGAAAAGAAGAAAAAAAACGCUCUUAAAUUACAGUCCAGAGAAGAAGAAACAAGGGGAAAAAUCAAGUUUUUUUUUUUUCUUUUGUAGAAUCAAAUAGAUAAUGUUCAGGAACCAAUACGAUACCGACGUCACUACAUGGAGCCCGGCGGGCCGGUUGUUCCAAGUGGAGUACGCGAUGGAGGCCGUGAAACAAGGCUCGGCGGCGAUCGGACUCCGAUCUAAGACCCAUGUUGUUUUGGCUUGCGUUAACAAGGCUAAUUCCGAGUUGUCUUCUCACCAGAAGAAGAUCUUCAAAGUCGACGACCAUAUCGGUGUCGCCAUAGCCGGUCUCACCGCCGACGGACGCGUCCUAUCUCGGUAUAUGCGGAACGAGUGUAUCAACUAUAGCUUCACGUACGAGUCGCCGCUUCCCGUGGGCCGACUCGUUGUUCAACUCGCCGAUAAAGCCCAGGUCUGCACCCAACGUUCUUGGAAACGGCCUUAUGGUGUUGGUUUGUUGGUGGCUGGCUUGGAUGAAUCCGGGGCUCAUCUCUACUAUAACUGCCCAAGUGGAAACUAUUUUGAGUACCAAGCUUUUGCCAUUGGAUCACGCUCGCAAGCUGCAAAAACGUACUUGGAACGCAGGUUUGAGAGCUUUAGAGACACAACACGGGAUGAUCUGGUCAAGGAUGCUCUUAUGGCAAUAAGGGAGACCCUGCAAGGAGAAACCUUAAAAAGCUCGGUAUGUACAGUUACCGUGGUAGGGGUCGGGGAACCAUUCCAUGUCUUGGAUCAAGGAACCGUACAACAAAUGAUUGAUGCCUUCGAAAUUGUGGCAGAGCAAGAAGGUCCUGCUGCUGAACCUGAUGCUGAUGCAGGACAGGAGGCUUCAGCCGAGCCCGAACCUGAACAGGGUGCUGCUGCUGGCGAAGGCGUGGCCCCUAUGGAUAUUUGAGGAUGAAAAAACCUGCUUCCCGGUCCUUCUAGAUUUUUUUCGACAAUGUGCUUGGAAAUUCGGGCCAAUGACAAUGUGCAUUGGGGUUGCUGACAGAGUCACUCUGUGAACCCGUUCAGGUUUUAGGCAGAAUCGGGAGAUAAACCUUGGGGAUAAAACCAAACAUAAACACUCUGAACCCAACAUUGGACAUGGUUUGGAGGACAACACACUUUGCAAACCUCUUAGACCCUUGUGUUAGGAGUCAGAUUGUAUUUUGUCCCUUCUUUUAAAAAAAUAGAUAAAUUAGUCCAUGUACGUUAGGUCAAAUAAUUGAUCAUUCUAUUAAAAAUUUCAUUCAAAUCUAUUGUUAAAAA